AUAAAAGACUGCAAGACUUCUACAUAGAACACUAUAACAUAUUAUUGUAAGAAACUGCAGAACUAAAUAAACAGAGAGCUAUGUCAUGAUCAGACUUAGAAGACUCAGUAAAGUUGUCAUUCUCUCUCCAAUUGUUCUAUAGAUUCAUUUCACUACCAGGUCAAAGACACAAUCAAAAGCCCGACAAAUGGAAUUUGUGGAAUUGGAACAAAAAGGCACAAGAACAUCAAAGCAUAAAUCCUUCAGGUAUCAGCAAUGACAUCACUUAAGAAUUUCUCAGAAUCUUUGGCACCACCCCAGGCCUACCGGAUCAGAAUCUGAAUUUUUUAACAAGAUCUCAGAUCUAGUCAAGAGUCCAGUCUGAUUUCUCUUUAUUGGGACUACCACCCAAAGCAGAAUGAGGAUGAUGUAACCACGCCCAGUGACUUCUGGAUACCACUGACUCUAGAUGAGCAAGGAGAGACUCAGAGGAAGUCAGCGUUACUCGAUUAGAAAGUGACUGUGGCACUACCAUAGUAGUAAAAUCUACCAUGGCAGAGAAAAUGCCAUAUGUUCACCUUGCCAGUCGUUUUUCUUUUUCCUCCUGGGUUUAUAGGAAGAUGGCAGCCCCUGGCUCCCCUGCAAUCAGGCAGGGCCAUGUGACUGAGUCUUAGCUCACCAAUGUGGGAGAAAGUGAUGUGUGACACAUUAAGGCCAGGCCACUGAAACCUCUCAUGGGAACUUCCAUACUCACUUCCCUCAUCUGCUAGCCAACCCAAAAGAUUGAGUGGAGGAUUUUACAGCCCCAGGGCCUAGAGAUGCUGGAAAGAAGCCUGAUUCAGCCCUGAAUGAACCUGUGCAAAGGUGCCUCUGACCUCCAACCCUUGUUGGACUAGGAUGUUGGAAAAUACUGUGUUAAGCUACUGGGAUUUCAAAGUUGUUUGUCAUAGCAGCUAGCCAUAUUUACUCUACCUGAUAGAUCUAUGUUCUGUAAUUACAGUGUUUGCCUUUCAUGUCCUAAGGGUAAAUAAGUGAUAUAUGCAACAAUAAACUGUGAUGUACUAUAUAUUGUUUUUAUUACAUUAAAAUUCUUAAAAUUUGCUUUUUCA
rnacentral:lncRNA from 10 species